UAAGGAAUAUUGGUCAAUGGACGCAAGUCUGAACCAGCCAUGCCGCGUGGAGGAUGAAGGUCCUCUGGAUUGUAAACUUCUUUUAUCUGGGAAGAAAUGGUUGCUUUCUAGCGAUCUUGACGGUACCAGAUGAAUAAGCACCGGCUAACUCCGUGCCAGCAGCCGCGGUAAUACGGAGGGUGCAAGCGUUAUCCGGAUUCACUGGGUUUAAAGGGUGCGUAGGCGGAAUGGAAAGUCCGUUGUGAAAUCUCUGAGCUUAACUCGGAAAUUGCGGUGGAUACUAUCAUUCUUGAAUACUGUGGAGGUUAGCGGAAUAUGUCAUGUAGCGGUGAAAUGCAUAGAUAUGACAUAGAACACCAAUUGCGAAGGCAGCUGGCUACACAGAUAUUGACGCUGAGGCACGAAAGCGUGAGGAUCAAACAGG
rnacentral:rRNA from 1 species